rnacentral:misc_RNA from 1 species
GAUGAAGAACGCAGCGAAAUGCGAUACUUGGUGUGAAUUGCAGAAUCCCGUGAACCAUCGAGUCUUUGAACGCAAGUUGCGCCCGAAGCCAUUUGGUUGAGGGCACGUCUGCCUGGGCGUCACAUAUCGUUGCCCGAUGCCUAUAGCACUGUGAUAGGAAAUUCUAGGGCGAAAGAUGGCUUCCCGUGAGCGUUGUUGCCUCGCGGUUGGUUGAAAAUCGAGUCCUUGGUAGGGUGUGCCAUGAUAGAUGGUGGUCGAGUUUGCACGAGACCGAUCAUGUGUGCGCUCCCCAAAAUAUGGACUCUUUGACCCCACACGCGUCUUUUGACGCUCAUGACGAGACCUCAGGUCAGGCGGGGCUACCCGCUGAGUUUAAGCAUAUCAAUAAGCGGAGGA